GACGAACGCUGGCGGCGUGCUUAACACAUGCAAGUCGAACGGUAAGGCCCUUCGGGGUACACGAGUGGCGAACGGGUGAGUAACACGUGGGUGAUCUGCCCUGCACUUCGGGAUAAGCCUGGGAAACUGGGUCUAAUACCGGAUAGGACUCCGGACUGCAUGGUCUGGGGUGGAAAGCUUUUGCGGUGUGGGAUGGGCCCGGGGCCUAUCGGUUUGUUGGGGGGGUGAUGGCCUACCAAGGCGACGACGGGUGGCCGGCCUGGGAGGGUGACCGGCCACACUGGGACUGAGAUACGGCCCAGACUCCUACGGGAGGCAGCAGUGGGGAAUAUUGCACAAUGGGCGCAAGCCUGAUGCAGCGACGCCGCGUGAGGGAUGACGGCCUUCGGGUUGUAAACCUCUUUCAGCAUCGACGAAGCGAAAGUGACGGUAGGUGCAGAAGAAGGACCGGCCAACUACGUGCCAGCAGCCGCCGUAA
rnacentral:rRNA from 1 species